rnacentral:rRNA from 1 species
AGUGAACGCUGGCGGUAGGCCUAACACAUGCAAGUCGAACGGCAGCACAGUAAGAGCUUGCUCUUACGGGUGGCGAGUGGCGGACGGGUGAGGAAUACAUCGGAAUCUACUUUUUCGUGGGGGAUAACGUAGGGAAACUUACGCUAAUACCGCAUACUACCUACGGGUGGAAGCAGGGGAUCUUCGGACCUUGCGCGAUUGAAUGAGCCGAUGUCGGAUUAGCUAGUUGGCGGGGUAAAGGCCCACCAAGGCGACGAUCCGUAGCUGGUCUGAGAGGAUGAUCAGCCACACUGGAACUGAGACACGGUCCAGACUCCUACGGGAGGCAGCAGCGGGGAAUAUUGGACAAUGGGCGCAAGCCUGAUCCAGCCAUACCGCGUGGGUGAAGAAGGCCUUCGGGUUGUAAAGCCCUUUUGUUGGGAAAGAAAAGCAGCAGGUUAAUACCCCGCUGUUCUGACGGUACCCAAAGAAUAAGCACCGGCUAACUUCGUG